rnacentral:rRNA from 1 species
GACGAACGCUGGCGGCGUGCUUAACACAUGCAAGUCGAACGGAAAGGCCAUGCUUUUGUGGGGUGCUCGAGUGGCGAACGGGUGAGUAACACGUGAGUAACCUGCCCUUGACUUUGGGAUAACUUCAGGAAACUGGGGCUAAUACCGGAUAGGAGCUCUUGCUGCAUGGUGGGGGUUGGAAAGUUUCGGCGGUUGGGGCUGGACUCGCGGCUUAUCAGCUUGUUGGGCGGGUAGUGGCUUACCAAGGGUUUGACGGGUAGCCUGCCUGGGAGGGUGGCCGGCGUCAUUGGGACUACGGUACGGCCCAGAAUGCUACGGGAGGCAGUAGUGGAGAGUAUGGCGCAGUGGGGGGACGCGUGAUGCGGAAGCGCCGGGAGCGGGAUGACGGGUUUUGGGGUGUGAACCGAUUUGGACGGUGACGAAGCCGGAGUGACGGUAACUGGUAAAAAAGCACCGGCUAACUACGUG